rnacentral:rRNA from 1 species
CGCGAGUCGAGAGGGUUCGGCCCUCGGCUGACGGCUCAGUAACACGGCGAUAAUCUAGCCUUAGGUGGAGGAUAAUCUCGGGAAACUGAGGAUAAUACUCCAUAGAUCUAGGAUGCUGGAAUGCAUCUAGAUUGAAAGCUCCGGCGCCUAAGGAUGAGUCUGCCGGACUAUCAAGUUGAAAACAUGGGUAAAGAGGGGGCGUAGCCUACUGACAGGAUACGGGUUGUGAGAGCACUAACCCGGAGACGAUAUCUGACACACGAUAUCGGGCCCUACGGGGCAGCAGCAGGCGCUGAAAACUUCACACUGUGCGAAAGCGCGAUGAGGGAAUCCCAAGUGUUUGCUCGUAAGAGUAAACUAGUUUCUUUGUUUAAAACGCAGAGAGAGUAAAGGGCUGGGUAAGACGGGUGCCAGCCGCCGCGGUAAUACCUGCAGCUCUGAGUGGUGAUAAUUAUUAUUUGGAGCUAAAGCGUCCGUAGCCGGUUUAAUAAAUGCCUGAGGUAAAUCUGUAGCUAGACUAACGACUUCCGGGUAGACUGCUAAACUUGAGACCNGGAAGAGGCUAGAGGUACUCCUGGGGCACAAGUGAAAUUAGGUAAUCACUAGGGGGACCACUAAUGGCGAAAGGCGUCUANCUAGAACGNG